rnacentral:rRNA from 1 species
CGGGUGAGUAACGCGUGGGUAACCUGCCUCAUACAGGGGGAUAACAGUUGGAAAUGACUGCUAAUACCGCAUAAGCGCACAGAAUCGCAUGAUUCGGUGUGAAAAACUCCGGUGGUAUGAGAUGGACCCGCGUCUGAUUAGCUAGUUGGUGGGGUAAAGGCCUACCAAGGCGACGAUCAGUAGCCGACCUGAGAGGGUGAUCGGCCACAUUGGGACUGAGACACGGCCCAAACUCCUACGGAAGGCAGCAG